CCCCUAGAUGUUCUGGGCCGCACGCGCGCUACACUGACAGAGCCAGCGAGUCUACCACCUUUGCCGGAAGGCAUGGGUAAUCUUGUGAAACUCUGUCGUGAUGGGGAUAGAACAUUGCAAUUAUUGUUCUUCAACGAGGAAUACCUAGUAAGCGUGAUUCAUCAGAUCGCGUUGAUUACGUCCCUGCCCUUUGUACACACCGCCCGUCGCUACUACCGAUUGAAUGGCUUAGUGAGGCCUCCGGAUUGGCUAUUGGGAGCUCGCGAGAGCACCCGACUGCCGAGAAGUUGUACGAACUUGGUCAUUUAGAGGAAGUAAAAGUCGUAACA
rnacentral:rRNA from 1 species